CGUGACCCCGUGCCAGGGGGCGGGUGAAGAGGGGGGGUGGGAGCGUUGUCCGGAAUGCCUGGGGGGAAAGGGUGCGUAGGCGGUUCGGUAAGUUGCUGGUGAAAGCCCGGGGCUCAACUCCGGGGCUGCCGGCACGACUGCCGGACUUGAGCACGGUAGGGGCAGAUGGAAUUCCCGGUGUAGCGGUGGAAUGCGUAGAGAUCGGGAAGAAUACCAGUGGCGAAGGCGUUCUGCUGGGCCGUUGCUGACGCUGAGGCGCGACAGCGUGGGGAGCAAACAGGAUUAGAUACCCGUGUAGUC
rnacentral:rRNA from 1 species